rnacentral:rRNA from 1 species
AGUGAACGCUGGCGGCGUGCUUAACACAUGCAAGUCGAACGAGAACGGAUUAUAGCUUGCUAUAAUUGUCAGCUAAGUGGCGCACGGGUGAGUAAUAUAUAGAUAACCUGCCCUCUAGAAAGGAAUAACAGUUGGAAACGACUGCUAAUGCCCUAUAUGCCUUUAAUACAUAAGUAUGCAAGGGAAACGCUUUAGUGCUAGAGGAUGGGUCUGUAUGGUAUCAGCUUGUUGGUGAGGUAAUGGCUCACCAAGGCUAUGACGCCUAACUGGUUUGAGAGGAUGAUCAGUCACACUGGAACUGAGACACGGUCCAGACUCCUACGGGAGGCAGCAGUGGGGAAUAUUGCACAAUGGACGAAAGCCUGAUCCAGCAAUGCCGCGUGAGUGAUGAAGGCCUUAGGGUUGUAAAGCUCUUUUACCCGAGAUGAUAAUGACAGUAUCGGGAGAAUAAGCUCCGGCUAACUCCGUG